UACGAAGGGGGCUAGCGUUGCUCGGAAUCACUGGGCGUAAAGGGUGCGUAGGCGGGUUUGUAAGUUAGGGGUGAAAUCCUGGAGCUCAACUCCAGAACUGCCUUUGAUACUGAAGAUCUUGAGUUCGGGAGAGGUGAGUGGAACUGCGAGUGUAGAGGUGAAAUUCGUAGAUAUUCGCAAGAACACCAGUGGCGAAGGCGGCUCACUGGCCCGAUACUGACGCUGAGGCACGAAAGCGUGGGGAGCAAACAGG
rnacentral:rRNA from 1 species